rnacentral:rRNA from 1 species
UGAGAGCGGCGUACGGGUGCGGAACACGUGUGCAACCUACCUUUAUCAGGGGGAUAGCCUUUCGAAAGGAAGAUUAAUACCCCAUAAUAUAUUUGAUGGCAUCAUUAGAUAUUGAAAACUCCGGUGGAUAGAGAUGGGCACGCGCAAGAUUAGAUAGUUGGUAGGGUAACGGCCUACCAAGUCAGUGAUCUUUAGGGGGCCUGAGAGGGUGAUCCCCCACACUGGUACUGAGACACGGACCAGACUCCUACGGGAGGCAGCAGUGAGGAAUAUUGGACAAUGGGUGAGAGCCUGAUCCAGCCAUCCCGCGUGAAGGACGACGGUUCUAUGGAUUGUAAACUUCUUUUAUACUGGGAUAAACCUACUUACGUGUAAGUAGCUGAAGGUACAGUAUGAAUAAGCACCGGCUAACUCCGUGCCAGCAGCCGCGGUAAUACGGAGGGUGCAAGCGUUAUCCGGAUUUAUUGGGUUUAAAGGGUCCGUAGGCGGAUCUGUAAGUCAGUGGUGAAAUCUCACAGCUUAACUGUGAAACUGCCAUUGAUACUGCAGGUCUUGAGUAAAGUAGAAGUGGCUGGAAUAAGUAGUGUAGCGGUGAAAUGCAUAGAUAUUACUUAGAACACCAAUUGCGAAGGCAGGUCACUAUGUUUUAACUGACGCUGAUGGACGAAAGCGUGGGGAGCGAACAGGAUUAGAUACCCUGGUAGUCCUCGCCGUAAACGAUGCUAACUCGUUUUUGGGCUUUAGGGUUCAGAGACUAAGCGAAAGUGAUAAGUUAGCCACCUGGGGAGUACGUUCGCAAGAAUGAAACUCAAAGGAAUUGACGGGGGCCCGCACAAGCGGUGGAUUAUGUGGUUUAAUUCGAUGAUACGCGAGGAACCUUACCAAGGCUUAAAUGGGAAUUGACAGGUUUAGAAAUAGACUUUUCUUCGGGCAAUUUUCAAGGUGCCGCAUGGUUGUCGUCAGCUCGUGCCGUGAGGUGUUAGGUUAAGUCCUGCAACGAGCGCAACCCCUGUCACUAGUUGCCAUCAUUCAGUUGGGGACUCUAGUGAGACUGCCUACGCAAGUAGAGAGGAAGGUGGGGAUGACGUCAAAUCAUCACGGCCCUUACGCCUUGGGCCACACACGUAAUACAAUGGCCGGUACAGAGGGCAGCUACUUAGCGAUAAGAUGCGAAUCUCGAAAGCCGGUCUCAGUUCGGAUUGGAGUCUGCAACUCGACUCUAUGAAGCUGGAAUCGCUAGUAAUCGCGCAUCAGCC